rnacentral:rRNA from 1 species
UACGGAGGGUGCAAGCGUUGUUCGGAAUCACUGGGCGUAAAGCGCGUGUAGGCGGCCUUUUAAGUCUGAUGUGAAAGCCCGGGGCUUACCCCCGGAAGUGCAUUGGAGACUGGGAGGCUCGAGUACCGGAGAGGAGGGUGGAAUUCCUGGUGUAGCGGUGAAAUGCGUAGAUAUCAGGAGGAACACCGGUGGCGAAGGCGGCCCUCUGGACGGAUACUGACGCUGAGACGCGAAAGCGUGGGGAGCAAAC